GACGAACGCUGGCGGCGUGCCUAAUACAUGCAAGUCGAACGCUUCUUUCCUCCCGAGUGCUUGCACUCAAUUGGAAAGAGGAGUGGCGGACGGGUGAGUAACACGUGGGUAACCUACCCAUCAGAGGGGGAUAACACUUGGAAACAGGUGCUAAUACCGCAUAACAGUUUAUGCCGCAUGGCAUAAGAGUGAAAGGCGCUUUCGGGUGUCGCUGAUGGAUGGACCCGCGGUGCAUUAGCUAGUUGGUGAGGUAGCGGCUCACCAAGGCCACGAUGCAUAGCCGACCUGAGAGGGUGAUCGGCCACACUGGGACUGAGACACGGCCCAGACUCCUACGGGAGGCAGCAGUAGGGAAUCUUCGGCAAUGGACGAAAGUCUGACCGAGCAACGCCGCGUGAGUGAAGAAGGUUUUCGGAUCGUAAAACUCUGUUGUUAGAGAAGAACAAGGACGUUAGUAACUGAACGUCCCCUGACGGUAUCUAACCAGAAAGCCACGGCUAACUACGUG
rnacentral:rRNA from 1 species